GCAAACUUGGUCAUUUAGAGGAAGUAAAAGUCGUAACAAGGUCUCCGUUGGUGAACCAGCGGAGGGAUCAUUACUGAGUUUACAACUCCCAAACCCACUGUGAACGCUACCUAUUGUUGCUUCGGCGGGCUCGCCCCGGCGCCCACAGCGGCCCGGACACAGGCGCCCGCCGGAGGCCCCCAAACUCUUGAAGUUGCGGUUGCUCUCUGAGUUGGUUGGCAUAAAGCAAAUCAAUCAAAACUUUCAACAACGGAUCUCUUGGCUCUGGCAUCGAUGAAGAACGCAGC
rnacentral:misc_RNA from 1 species